UACGUAGGGCGCAAGCGUUGUCCGGAAUUAUUGGGCGUAAAGAGCUCGUAGGCGGUUUGUCGCGUCUGCUGUGAAAACUCGAGGCUCAACCUCGGGCUUGCAGUGGGUACGGGCAGACUAGAGUGCGGUAGGGGUGACUGGAAUUCCUGGUGUAGCGGUGGAAUGCGCAGAUAUCAGGAGGAACACCGAUGGCGAAGGCAGGUCACUGGGCCGCAACUGACGCUGAGAAGCGAAAGCGUGGGGAGCGAACAGG
rnacentral:rRNA from 1 species